rnacentral:rRNA from 1 species
CGGACGGGUGAGUAACGCGUGGGUAACCUGCCUUAUACAGGGGGAUAACAGUCAGAAAUGGCUGCUAAUACCGCAUAAGCGCACAGGGUCGCAUGACCUAGUGUGAAAAACUCCGGUGGUAUAAGAUGGACCCGCGUUGGAUUAGCCAGUUGGCAGGGUAACGGCCUACCAAAGCGACGAUCCAUAGCCGGCCUGAGAGGGUGAACGGCCACAUUGGGACUGAGACACGGCCCAGACUCCUACGGGAGGCAGCAUG